AAUCCUCUUGCAACCCAGAACUCAUUGCUCAGUAUGAGUUUUGAUAUAUACAAGAAGGA
ensembl:miRNA Mir7650 microRNA 7650